rnacentral:tRNA from 1 species
GGGGAUGUAGCUCAGUGGUGAGGAACUUGUCUAGUGUGACAAGAGGCCCUAAGUUCGAUCCUUAGUAUAGCCA